rnacentral:rRNA from 1 species
UUUGUGGAGAGUUUGAUCCUGGCUCAGGACGAACGCUGGCGGCGUGCUUAACACAUGCAAGUCGAACGGAAAGGCC